GUUGAAAAUGAUUUGAUGAAACUCAUAGUGUAUGGAGCUUUUCCCAAGAAAAAUAAAAUGUAGGCCUGGAAGAGACCCCAGGAAGUCAUGUCGCAUCAUUCCCUGCCUCGGGCAUGCCAGUGUCCUAAGCACUCAACUGUCAUGACUGUCUGCUCUCCUUAUGAAGAGACUGUCACACAUGUGUGCACCAUAACUUCCCACCUCAUUUCAGUGUUUU
rnacentral:lncRNA from 1 species